rnacentral:rRNA from 1 species
UACGUAGGGUGCAAGCGUUGUCCGGAAUUAUUGGGCGUAAAGAGCUCGUAGGCGGUCUGUCGCGUCGGCUGUGAAAACCCGGGGUUCAACCCCGGGCCUGCAGUCGAUACGGGCAGACUAGAGUGCGGUAGGGGAGACUGGAAUUCCUGGUGUAGCGGUGAAAUGCGCAGAUAUCAGGAGGAACACCGGUGGCGAAGGCGGUUCUCUGGGCCUUACCUGACGCUGAGGAGCGAAAGCGUGGGGAGCAAACAGG